UACAUCAUAUGUGUGUCCAACUUACCGAUGUCUAACAAGAGUGAACCCCAACAUAAACUCUGAACUCUGGGUGUGAACAGUGUUUCAAUGUAGGGUCACCCGAUUGUAACAGAUGUACCGCUGUCCUGGGGGAUGUCUAUAGAGACUACGUGUGUCCUCCUUCCCUGUGGGGGUCCAUGCUGACUUCUGCUGUGGAAACUUCCUCUUGUCUCCACACCCGUGUCGCUGCUCCAUCAGAGCCCCCUUAAGCAUGCUCAACACAUUUUAUCCACGGAUGUUCUGAGCACUCAGGAGCGUACUGAAAUUUGCAGCAAGAGGAUCACCCCCACUGUGCAAGAAUCAAAAAGGAAAUAGACAGCCCUACAGUUGCUCUUUGGAACCCUCACUCUUAGAUCCCUGAGCCACCGUAUGAGAAGUCCAGCUACCCUGAGGCCGUGGACUGCAGCUGCACUCCAGUCUUUAAGCCCAGCUGUGCUCGGGUGGCUCACUUUCUACACCCCACCCUCAGCAUCAGAUAUGUGAGUCUCAGACCACCCAGACUGACCAGUCUGCCCACUGAAUACCACCAAAUGAUGCCAGGCAAUUCCACACAGAGAAGAAGAACCGCCUGGCUGAGCCCUGCCUGAAAUCCUGACCCACGAAGUCAUGAA
rnacentral:lncRNA from 1 species